GGCCUUUUGAUUAUAAUUUAAGGUCUCACCUGCCCUAUGAGUAUUUAAAUGGCCGCGGUAUUUUGACCGUGCAAAGGUAGCAUAAUCAAUAGUUUUUUAAUUGAAAGCUGGAAUGAAAGGUUGGAUGGAAAAAUAACUGUCUCUAUUUAAAUUUUUUAGAAUUUUAUUUUUAAGUAAAAAAGCUUAAAUUAUAAUAAAAGACGAGAAGACCCUAUAGAGUUUUAUUAAUUUAAAUGUAAAGAAUUUUAGUUUUAAUUAUUUUUAGCACUUAAAUUAAUUUGGUUGGGGUGAUUGAAAAAUUAAAAGAACUUUUUUUGUAUUUUUACAUUUAUAUGUGAUUAAGUGAUCCUUACAUGAAGAUUAAAAGAAUAAAUUACCUUAGGGAUAACAGCGUAAUUUUUUUUGAGAGUUCAAAUCGAAAGAAAAGAUUGCGACCUCGAUGUUGGAUUAAAAUAAAAUUUUGGUGUAGAAGCUAAAGUAUUUAGGUCUGUUCGACCUUUAAAAUUUUACAUGAUCUGAGUUUAAACCGGUGUGAG
rnacentral:rRNA from 1 species